rnacentral:rRNA from 1 species
GACGAACGCUGGCGGCGUGCUUAACACAUGCAAGUCGAACGGAAAGGCCCUGCUUUUGUGGGGUGCUCGAGUGGCGAACGGGUGAGUAACACGUGAGUAACCUGCCCUUUACUUUGGGAUAACUUCAGGAAACUGGGGCUAAUACCGGAUAGGAGCUCCUGCUGCAUGGUGGGGGUUGGAAAGUUUCGGCGGUUGGGGAUGGACUCGCGGCUUAUCAGCUUGUUGGUGGGGUAGUGGCUUACCAAGGCUUUGACGGGUAGCCGGCCUGAGAGGGUGACCGGCAACAUUGGGACUGAGAUACGGCACAGACUACUACGGGAGGCAGCAGUGGGGAAUAUUGCACAAUGGGCGGAAGCCUGAUGCAGCAACGCAGCGUGCGGGAUGACGGCCUUCGGGUUGUAAACCGCUUUAGCCUGUGACGAAGCGUGAGUGACGGUAAUGGGUAAAGAAGCACCGGCUAACUACGUG